rnacentral:rRNA from 1 species
UACGUAGGGGCCUAGCGUUGUCCGGAAUUAUUGGGCGUAAAGAGCUCGUAGGUGGUUCGGUAAGUCACGUGUGAAAUCUCCACGCUUAACGUGGAGGCGCCACGUGAAACUGCUGUGACUUGAGUCCGGUAGGGGAGUGUGGAAUUCCCGGUGUAGCGGUGAAAUGCGCAGAUAUCAGGAGGAACACCGGUGGCGAAGGCAGCUCGCUGGGACGGUACUGACGCUGAGACGCGAAAGCGUGGGGAGCAAACAGG